rnacentral:rRNA from 1 species
CCUACGGGUGGCAGCAGUCGAGAAUCAUUCACAAUGGGGGAAACCCUGAUGGUGCGACGCCGCGUGGGGGAAUGAAGGUCUUCGGAUUGUAAACCCCUGUCAUGUGGGAGCAAAUUAAAAAGAUAGUACCACAAGAGGAAGAGACGGCUAACUCAGUGCCAGCAGCCACGGUAAUACAGAGGUCUCAAGCGUUGUUCGGAAUCACUGGGCGUAAAGCGUGCGGGGGCUGUUUCGUAAGUCGUGUGUGAAAGGCGCGGGCUCAACCCGCGGACGGCCCAUGAUACUGCGAGACUAGAGUAAGGGAGGGGGAACCGGAAUGCUUGGUGUAGCAGUGAAAUGCGUAGAUAUCGAGAGGAACACUCGUGGCGAAGGCGGGUUCCCGGACAUUAACUGACGCUGAGGCACGAAGGCCAGGGGAGCGAAAGGGAUUAGAUACCCUUGUAGUC